ACAUUUGUCUUGGCGCUCUGGGGAAGAAGGCCGGAGUGCAAUGGCGCGAUCUUGGCUCACUGCAACCUCCGCCUCCCUGGUUCAAGUGAUUCUCCUGCCUCAGCCUCCUGAGUAGCUGGGAUAACAGACAUGCAUCACCACGACCAGAUAAGGACACUGCAGCCCAGAGAAGAAACCUGCAAAGGCCAUGUUCACACACUCACAAGAGACAUGGCUGUGAUUUGGAUCCAGAUGUGAUGGGCUGACAACAAAACUCCUGUGAUAUCACGAAGUCUUCGGGAGGCAGAAUUGAAGUGAAGAUGAAGUUUAGCUUAGAGAAGAAAAGAAUAAAUACAUACAAAACAUUUGAUGGUGAAUAAACAGAAAAUGGUGUAUUCAAUAGAAUUCGACUCAGCAAUAAAAAUGAACCAAACUAUGGAAAACAACACCCAACAAUAGGAAGGAAUCUCAAAAUAAUUUUGGUGAGUGAAAGAGGUCAGACCAAAAAAAAAAAAAAGACUAGAAAAUGUUAACUACCCAAUAGUGAUGAAAAGCAAGCAGAUCAGUGAUUGCCUAGGGAGUGGGGGGAAGGGCACCCUGAGAAGAGGUAGGAAGGAAGGGAUGAUAAACAGGCAGAAGGAAACUUUUGAGGGUGAUGGAUAUAUUCACUACCUUGAUGACAGAGAUGCUUGUAAGGGUGUCAAAAUGCAUCACAUCGUAUGCUUUAAACAUGCACAGUUUAUCGUAUGUUAAUUAUAGUUCAAUGAAGCCAUAAAAAACAUAUUUGAAUUUAAAUAUGUUUAGUAAGAUCCACAAAUCCCAUGAAGUAGACCAGUAUUAUUGUUCUACUAAUAACAGAUUGAAAAUUGUGUUCGGUAUACCUAUAAAAUAGGUAAUUUUGACAAAUAGCCCCUUCAGCAUAUCUAAUGUAUACUCACUAUGUCUUACCAAUUUCCAAGUAGAAAUUAUCCAUUAAGUAAUAACUUAGGUUCUAUUAAAACUUAAUUCAAUGGAAAAAACCUAUUACUAAAUUCUAGCUUAUUAAAAACCAAUUUGGCCAUAAGAGGUCAUGAAUUCUAAAAACUAAUAAUACUUAAAUAUAUUACUUAAAAUUACUUAAGUAUUAAAUAAUACUUAAAUAUAUUUACAAUAAUAAUAGUAGUAGUAGAAGUAAUGCCAUUUCCUUAUUAAGUUUCCCAUUUUAAAAAAAUACCUUAAAAACUCUGAAAUUUUUCUUCUGAAAUAAAUAAGAGGAUAGAUAGGAUUAUUCUCAUUUACCAGACAUUAAUUUUUAAAUUGCCCGAAAAAUGCCUUUUCUACAACUUUUUUCUCAUAACUGCUUUGAUAACAAGAAUCACAAUCUGUUUGGAAGUUUGCUUUGCUCAGUGUCAUAAGUUGGUUUACAAUUCAAUCAAAUGCCCUGGUUUGUCACAGGAGCUCACCAAUAAGCAAAACAGCCAAGGCUUUUAAAAACUAAUCAGAAAAAGUACAAUAAAAUUAAUUCACACA
rnacentral:lncRNA from 1 species